UGCGUAGGCGGCCUAUUAAGUCAGUGGUGAAAGGUAUCAGCUUAACUGAUGACGUGCCAUUGAAACUGACAGGCUUGAGUACAGACGAGGUAGGCGGAAUUUAUGGUGUAGCGGUGAAAUGCAUAGAUACCAUAAAGAACACCAAUUGCGAAGGCAGCUUACUAGACUGUAACUGACGCUGAGGCACGAAAGCGUGGGGAGCGAACAGGAUUAGAUACCCUGGUAGUCC
rnacentral:rRNA from 1 species